rnacentral:rRNA from 1 species
GAUGAACGCUGGCGGCGUGCUUAACACAUGCAAGUCGAACGGUGAAGGCGGAGCUUGCCCUGCUGGAUCAGUGGCGAACGGGUGAGUAACACGUGAGCAAUCUGCCCCUGACUCUGGGAUAAGCGCUGGAAACGGCGUCUAAUACUGGAUACGAGCUGCGAAGGCAUCUUCAGCAGCUGGAAAGAACUUCGGUCAGGGAUGAGCUCGCGGCCUAUCAGCUUGUUGGUGAGGUAACGGCUCACCAAGGCGUCGACGGGUAGCCGGCCUGAGAGGGUGACCGGCCACACUGGGACUGAGACACGGCCCAGACUCCUACGGGAGGCAGCAGUGGGGAAUAUUGCACAAUGGGCGAAAGCCUGAUGCAGCAACGCCGCGUGAGGGACGACGGCCUUCGGGUUGUAAACCUCUUUUAGCAGGGAAGAAGCGAAAGUGACGGUACCUGCAGAAAAAGCGCCGGCUAACUACGUG